UCAGGCCUAACACAUGCAAGUCGAGCGAGGACUUCGGUCCUAGCGGCGGACGGGUGAGUAACGCGUGGGAACGUGCCCUUUGCUUCGGAAUAGCCCUGGGAAACUGGGAGUAAUACCGGAUGAGCCCUACGGGGGAAAGAUUUAUCGGCGAAGGAUCGGCCCGCGUUGGAUUAGGUAGUUGGUGGGGUAAUGGCCUACCAAGCCGACGAUCCAUAGCUGGUUUGAGAGGAUGAUCGGCCACACUGGGACUGAGACACGGCCCAGACUCCUACGGGAGGCAGCAGUGGGGAAUCUUAGACAAUGGGGGAAACCCUGAUCUAGCCAUGCCGCGUGAGCAAAGGAGGCCUUAGGGUUGUAAAGCUCUUCAGCGGGAAGAUAAUG
rnacentral:rRNA from 1 species